CAGGUCCAUGUGAUUUAUGCUCAAAUGCUUUGGCAGAGAAUUAAACGACGCAGCUGCAGUCCGAAGUACAUUUGUUAAAAAAUGGACGAUCGAUCGCCUUUUCCCCACUGGCAGCUAACCCUGGCCCGUUCCGGUGUGGGUCUGGCAUAUUGUGUAGUGGGGGAGAUUAGCUGUUUCUGAUCCGACUGGGUUGCGAGUUUCCCCGCCAAGCGAGGCCUCAACCCCGGAAAUGACUAGGCACCAGGGGAUUGUGGAUCCAGUUCUUUUUGUAGAAGACCUCUUCCCUAUCCUCGACGCUCGCGUGGGAAUGGAAGACCGGGAGGGCGUCAAACUCGACGGGAAAAUGCGCCAGCUUUCACGCAUAACUGCUAGCGUCGUGGAAACGGGAACCUUGCCGGACACAAAAAGGCUUCUGGCUGAGUGAGGAUGCGUGGGCUUGGAGGAGAUUGAUCUUGUUAUCUUUGCUUUUGGUGUGCAUGCACAAGUGUGUGUGUAUAUACACACACACACUUCUUCUCCAACUUGAAGUGAUUCUGGACAGCUGACAAUUGGAUAGAAGCAGAAAAAUCAAAGAAAUUUAAAAAAAUGAAACUCAGGACCCAGAAUCAACAAAAGGAAUCACACAAUAACAAAAUGAAUGGAAUAAUUAAGGUUAAUCGUUUUGAUGAUCCAUCAAAAAUAUUUCAUUCUGAAUGGGUGAAUCUUACUCUGUGGUCCAGAAUCUGGGGGAAGAAUUGGGCUUUUAGGGCCUUUUGGAAGACCGUGAAUGUUAGGACCAUCCAAACCUUGGGGAUGCUCUAGUGCAGAGAUCCCCACUUUAUGACUUGUGGACCUCAACUCCCAGAAUUCCUUAGCCAGCCAUGAAAUAAAGGCAUUUUUUAAAUAUUUCAAUCCCGUCCUCCACUUCUGCCAUUAUGAUAGCAUAGAUAGAUGUUCUAUCUAUCUCAGCGGUUCUCAAUCUGUGGGUCGCGACCCCAUUUGGGGUCGAACGACCAUUUCUCGGGGGUCGCCAAACAACGCAGUCCGCCAUUUUUCCCCCUUUU